AGAGUUUGAUCCUGGCUCAGAACGAACGCUGGCGGCAGGCUUAACACAUGCAAGUUGAACGGGAUUUGUAUGGUGCUUGCACCAUGUAAUGAGAGUAGCGCACUGGUGAGUAACACGUGGGAACAUACCUUGAAGUGGGGGACAACAGUUGGAAACGACUGCUAAUACCGCAUAAUCCCUGAGGGGGAAAGAUUUAUCGCUUUAAGAUUGGCCCGCGGAAGAUUAGGUAGUUGGUGGGGUAACGGCCUACCAAGCCGACGAUCUAUAGCUGGUCUGAGAGGACGAACAGCCACAUUGGAACUGAGACACGGUCCAGACUCCUACGGGAGGCAGCAGUGAGGAAUAUUGGGCAAUGGAGGAAACUCUGACCCAGCCAUGCCGCGUGAGUGAAGAAGGUUUUCGAAUUGUAAAGCUCUUUCGGAUGGGACGAUGAUGACGGUACCAUCUAAAGAAGCCCCGGCAAACUUCGUGCCAGCAGCCGCGGUAAUACGAAGGGGGCAAGCGUUGUUCGGAAUUACUGGGCGUAAAGGGUGUGUAGGCGGAUUUGUAAGAUAGUGGUGAAAUACCUGAGCUCAACUUAGGAAUUGCCAUUAUAACUAUAGAUCUGGAGUGACAGAGAGGAUAUUGGAAUACCCAGUGUAGAGGUGAAAUUCGUAGAUAUUGGGUAGAACACCAGUGGCGAAGGCGAGUAUCUGGCUGUCAACUGACGCUGAGGCACGAAAGCAUGGGGAUCAAACAGGAUUAGAUACCCUGGUAGUCCAUGCUGUAAACGAUGAAUGCUAGUUGUCGGCAAAAGCCGGUGACGCAGUUAACGCGAUAAGCAUUCCGCCUGGGGAGUACGGUCGCAAGAUUAAAACUCAAAGGAAUUGACGGGGACCCG
rnacentral:rRNA from 1 species